rnacentral:rRNA from 1 species
CAGCGCCACGAGUGGCAACCGCGAUUAUUGGGCCUAAAGCGUUCGUAGCCGGCCUGGAAAAUCCUUUGUGAAAUCACUGCGCUUAACGUAGUGGCUUGCAAGGGACACUACCAGGCUAGGGACCGGGAGGAGUCAGAGGUAUGGGCAGGGGAGCGGUAAAAUGCUAUAAUCCUGCUUAGACCACCCGUGGCGAAGGCGUCUGACUAGAACGGCUCCGACGGUGAGGGACGAAAGCCAGGGGAGCGAUCCGGAUUAGAGACCCGAGUAGUCC